CCUACGGGGGGCAGCAGUGGGGAAUAUUGGACAAUGGGGGGAACCCUGAUCCAGCCAUGCCGCGUGUGUGAAGAAGGCCCUCGGGUUGUAAAGCACUUUCAGUGAGGAAGAACGCCUGGUGGUUAAUACCCAUCAGGAAAGACAUCACUCACAGAAGAAGCACCGGCUAACUCCGUGCCAGCAGCCGCGGUAAUACGGAGGGUGCGAGCGUUAAUCGGAAUUACUGGGCGUAAAGCGCGCGUAGGUGGCUUGAUAAGCCGGUUGUGAAAGCCCCGGGCUCAACCUGGGAACGGCAUCCGGAACUGUCAAGCUAGAGUGCAGGAGAGGAAGGUAGAAUUCCCGGUGUAGCGGUGAAAUGCGUAGAGAUCGGGAGGAAUACCAGUGGUGAAGGCGGCCUUCUGGACUGACACUGACACUGAGGUGCGAAAGCGUGGGUAGCAAACAGGAUUAGAUACCCUUGUAGUC
rnacentral:rRNA from 1 species